UAGCUCGUAGUUUAACGGUUAAAACGUAAUACUCAUAAUAUUUUUAUUGUAGGUUCAAGUCCUAUCGUGCUAA
rnacentral:tRNA from 3 species